UUUGUUUAGGACUACACUUUGAUUAUUUUUUUUGUUGGACUAUCUUGCUGAAUUUGGUUUUAAUUUAUUGUUUCUAUGUUUUUCAAAUGGUAUCAAAUUCAGGGGGAGUUCAAGCAAUAUCUCAGGGGGAGUCUUUGACUAAGAUUUAGUUUUGAUCAGAAAGUUAAAAAGGGGGAGUUUGAAACACGUGAAUUAAAUUCACAAUGUGUUUUUAACUUUUCUUAAUUUCUAAACUAAAUCUUAGUUAGUGGGCUUAGUAGGGCUAAGUAGUGCUUAGUGGAUUUAAUUAUGGGAUUUAUCUUAACUUCCUAACUAACCCACUAACCCAUUAUCUUGAGUGCUCUUGUGGUUGGUUUUCUUGCAGAUCAUGGGCUGAAGAGUGGAAGCUUGGCAAGUCUAUAAAUACCAAACUCAAGACUCAAGAUUAAUACAGAUUUCGAGAAAACAAAAUAGAGAGCUGAAGUUUUAAUCUCGAGAAUUUUAGUGUGUUUUCUAGGAUCUGUUGUACGUACUAUUU
rnacentral:lncRNA from 1 species